UACGUAGGGUGCGAGCGUUAAUCGGAAUUACUGGGCGUAAAGCGUGCGCAGGCGGUGAUGUAAGACAGGUGUGAAAUCCCCGGGCUUAACCUGGGAACUGCAUUUGUGACUGCAUCGCUGGAGUGCGGCAGAGGGGGAUGGAAUUCCACGUGUAGCAGUGAAAUGCGUAGAUAUGUGGAGGAACACCGAUGGCGAAGGCAGCCCCCUGGGCUAACACUGACGCUCAUGCACGAAAGCGUGGGGAGCAAACAGG
rnacentral:rRNA from 1 species